rnacentral:rRNA from 1 species
UACGGAGGAUGCGAGCGUUAUCCGGAUUUAUUGGGUUUAAAGGGUGCGUAGGCGGAUUAAUAAGUCAGUGGUGAAAACCUUCAGCUUAACUGGAGACUUGCCAUUGAUACUGUUAGUCUUAAGUACGGUCAAGGUAGGCGGAAUGUGUAAUGUAGCGGUGAAAUGCUUAGAUAUUACACAGAACACCGAUUGCGAAGGCAGCUUACUGGGCCAUUACUGACGCUGAGGCACGAAAGCGUGGGGAGCGAACAGG